rnacentral:rRNA from 1 species
UGGGGAAUAUUGCACAAUUGGCGCAAGCCUGAUGCAGCCAUGCCGCGUGUAUGAAGAAGGCCUUCGGGUUGUAAAGUACUUUCAGCGGGGAGGAAGGGAGUAAAGUUAAUACCUUUGCUCAUUGACGUUACCCGCAGAAGAAGCACCGGCUAACUCCGUGCCAGCAGCCGCGGUAAUACGGAGGGUGCAAGCGUUAAUCGGAAUUACUGGGCGUAAAGCGCACGCAGGCGGUUUGUUAAGUCAGAUGUGAAAUCCCCGGGCUCAACCUGGGAACGGCAUCUGAUACUGGCAAGCUUGAGUCUCGUAGAGGGGGGGAGAAUUCCAGGUGUAGCGGUGAAAUGCGUAGAGAUCUGGAGGAAUACCGGUGGCGAAGGCGGCCCCCUGGACGAAGACUGACGCUCAGGUGCGAAAGCGUGGGGAGCAAACAGG